rnacentral:tRNA from 1 species
GGGCGCGUGGUUCAACCUGGAUAGAGCGACUGCUUCCGAAGCAGUAGGUUCCGGGUUCAAAUCCCGGCGUGCCCG